rnacentral:misc_RNA from 1 species
CACUGACAAUUUCACUAAGGUAUGACCGGCUGACUGACUGAUUGACUGAAUGACUGAUUGAGUGAGUGAUUUGUGGCUAUUGUAGUGAUGAAGACUGCAUGAUCGAGUGACUGGCUGGCUGAAUGAAUGAUGAAUGAAGUGAGUGGAAGAUUGUCGUAGUGGUGAAAGAAGAAUGAAGAAUGAAAGAAAGAUUGUUGUGGUGAAAGAAUGAAUUAAUGAAUGUUGUAGUGGUGAAAGAAUGAAUGAAAGAAAGAUUGUCGUAGUGGUGAAGGAAAUGAAAGUGCCGUAGUGGUGAAAGAAUGAAUGAAGAUGCCGUAAUGGUGAAAUAAUGAACGAAAGAUUGUCAUAGUGGUGAAAGAAUGGCGUUGAAAUGAAUGAAUGACUAUCGUAGUGAUGAAUGAAUUAAUGAAAAAUGCCGUAGUGGUGAAAGAAUGAAUGAAAAAUUGUCGUAGUGGUGAAAGAAUGGCGUUGAGAUGAAUGACUUGUAGUGAUGAAUGAAUGAAAGAUUGUCGUAGUGGUGAAUGAAGAAUGAAUGAAUGAAAGUGUUGUAGUGGUGAAAAAAAAAUGAGUGGAAAAUUGUCUUAGUGGUGAAGCCUAGCGUAGUGAUGAAUGAAAGAUACAGUGAUAAAUUAAUGAAGGAAUAUAAUAGUUCUUGUAGUGAUGAAUUAAUGAAAGAAAAACGUAGUGAUGACUGAAAAAAUUGAGUAAAUGAGUUAUAUAGUAGUGAUGAAAGACUAAAUGAAUACCAAUAAUUAAUAUACUCAUAGUGAUGAAUGAGUGAAUAAAAAGAUACUUGUAGUGAAGAAUAAAUGAAAAAUAACAGCUCUAGCAAAGAAAACAGAUAAAAAAAAUGACUGACUGACAAUCCAGCUUAACCCAGCCUAUCCUAACCCAACCCAGCUUAACCCAGCCUAUCCUAACCCAGCCCAACCUUACAGAAAUUGAAAUGAGAGUGGAAACUGGCCAAAAAUGCAGAAAAAGUGGAAUAUUAUGCCUUUUUUUCCUCUACUGUCAGCUCUUCUUAUGCCCAUCACCUUCUUCAUCUCGUAUGCUUGGGCCGUGGCGCUGGGACAUGUGGAGCCAGUGUUCCCCUACAUUAGUUCCACUGGUGCCUACCCCCCCGAGAGCAGCUUUUUCUCCUUCAUGCUAGAUAUUGUGGCUUUGCUAAUUGCAGUGACAGUGUGGGGACGACAUAAGCAGAUCGAGAGUUACUCCAGCCAGGCACUCAUAAACAAGGACCUUAAGACCACCAGCAGGGUUGCCACAUUCUUCGGUCUUCUCUCUGCCUUUGGUCUGUUUCUUGUUGGGAAUUUUCAGUCCACCUCCAUCAUCACCAUUCAUCUCAUUGGUGCUGUGCUGGCGUUUGGCAUAGGAACCAUCUAUCUGUGGAUGCAGAGUGUGAUGUCACUGAACCUGUCGCCGCGAGUGAAUGGGCGGGCAGUGAUGGUGGUGCGGUUUGUGUGUUCGGUGAUGGCAACACUGUUUCUCCUCAUCACCAUUGUGUUCUCCGUUCUGCACGACAUGGCCAACGAGGGAAAGGAUAACUCUUACUUGCCGGAGAGCAGCGACUGGUGGAGGAGAGAGGGGAGGGAGAAAUGGAGCUAUCACAUCUUGGCCACCUCCAAUGAAUGGCUGCUGUCCUUCACCUACGUCAUAAUGCUGCUCACCCUUGUUCCUGAGUUCAAGAGGCUGUCCUUCCAUGGGGUCAAGAUAGAGUAUGACAGGGAUCGGCGGCAGGUCAGAGAAACGGAUUUGCCAAGGUCAACUGACGCUAUUGUCUCCACAAGGGCUCAAGACACUGCUCUGUAACACCGCUCCACCACCACCACCACCACCCACAGCACCACAAAGGAGGCACCAGCACCAUCACAACAAGUCUAUAAUUAUUUUUCUAACUUAUGUACCAGUUAACCAGUUACUCGUUAAAAUGGUCUAAUGGUACACAAAUCUCAAG